AAAGCAAAGGUGGAAAAAAAAAAUUCUGAGAGAAGCCGGAGGGAAAAAACACCUUACCUACGAGUAGGAGCAAAGAUAAGAAUGAUAUCUGAUUUCUCAGAAACCAUGCAAACAAGAAGAGAGUGGAGUGAA